UCAACAUCUUCAACAUACCAAAACUUUGCAAUGAAUAAAAAAUGAAUUCAUUCAGCAAAAUGGUAUAAGUAGAUAACAAAUGUAGCUGAGACCCAGGUUUGUUCAUCAGAUAAAAAUUAAUUUUGAAAAGAACAUACCUUAAGGUCAAUGUUUAUUUUCAAAAAAAAAAAAAAAAAAAAAAAAAAAAAAAAAACCUAACUGUAUCGUUCUCGUUAAUCGUUCAAUUGCAAUUCUUGAUUGCUGCAAGUGAUUCCCUAAUUAUUUACUACAAUUGAAAAUGCCAUCACUCAAUAAAAUUACAAGCUAAAAUAAAAUGAAAAACUAACUAGUAGAUUACUUCACAGCAGCCAGAUUUUUAAAAAACAAGAUUUCCCUGGAGAU